CAGUCGCCGCGGUAAGACAGAGGUCCCGAGCGUUGUUCGGAUUCAUUGGGCGUAAAGGGUGUGUAGGAGGCCAGGUAAGUCAGGUGUGAAAUCUCAGAGCUUAACUCUGAAACUGCGCUUGAUACUGCUUGGCUAGAGGAUCGGAGGGGGUAACGGAAUUUAUGGUGUAGCAGUGAAAUGCGUAGAUAUCAUAAGGAACACCGGUGGCGAAGGCGGUUACCUGGAAGAUUCCUGACUCUGAAACACGAAAGCCAGGGGAGCAAACGGGAUUAGAUACCCCCGUAGUCCCUGUCUCUUAUAC
rnacentral:rRNA from 1 species